rnacentral:rRNA from 1 species
UACGUAGGGUGCAAGCGUUAAUCGGAAUUACUGGGCGUAAAGCGUGCGCAGGCGGUUGUGCAAGACAGAUGUGAAAUCCCCGGGCUCAACCUGGGAACUGCAUUUGUGACUGCACGGCUGGAGUGCGGCAGAGGGGGAUGGAAUUCCGCGUGUAGCAGUGAAAUGCGUAGAUAUGCGGAGGACACCGAUGGCGAAGGCAAUCCCCUGGGCCUGCACUGACGCUCAUGCACGAAAGCGUGGGGAGCAAACAGG